UCCAGAGAACUUGGCAGAGAUGCCUUGGUGCCUUCGGGAACUCUGAGACAGGUGCUGCAUGGCUGUCGUCAGCUCGUGUUGUGAAAUGUUGGGUUAAGUCCCGCAACGAGCGCAACCCCCUAUCCUUUGUUGCCAGCGAUUCGGUCGGGAACUCAAAGGAGACUGCCGGUGAUAAACCGGAGGAAGGUGGGGAUGACGUCAAGUCAUCAUGGCCCUUACGAGUAGGGCUACACACGUGCUACAAUGGCGUAUACAAAGAGAAGCGACCUCGCGAGAGCAAGCGGACCUCAUAAAGUACGUCGUAGUCCGGAUUGGAGUCUGCAACUCGACUCCAUGAAGUCGGAAUCGCUAGUAAUCGUAGAUCAGAAUGCUACGGUGAAUACGUUCCCGGGCCUUGUACACACCGCCCGUCACACCAUGGGAGUGGGUUGCAAAAGAAGUAGAUAGCUUAACCUUCGGGAGGGCGUUUACCACUUUGUGAUUCAUGACUGGGGUGAAGUCGUAACAAGGUAGGCGUACGUGU
rnacentral:rRNA from 1 species